CUUGCCAAAAACUAUUCCAAGACUCUGCCCAAUUCACUCCUCAAACCUCCAUCACCUACAAGACCGUGACCACCAUCCAUCCAUCAAUCUACGAAGCUCUUAGGCGCUGAGUCAAGGACGCUCCACCACCAUAGCAGAGACGAGUUCAUCACCUUGUUGCUAAGCUGCUGAGGAAAGCUUCAAAGUGGUUAAAUUGUGAGGCUAUUUCAGCCGCAUCACAACCAGAACCGGCCGGAAACAUACCGAACCGGCCACCGGAAGCUCUAAACCACCCGCAACAAAUAUUCUAUCGGUUCACCACCUUCCAGACAUCCAAUUGCUACCAAAUUUUGCCAGCAGAAGCGUCUUGAUCCCAAGAUACUGGAACCGGAACCAGAACGUCUGGAACCAGCCAAAAAUUGACCGGACCAAUCUCGGAACUGUUGCACCUCUUGAACCGGCAAAUCCUCUUCUCAAGAAAAAAAAAAAAAAGGAGGAGGACAAGCCGCAGCCCAAGCCGCGUUAAGCCCAGAAGUAGGUGCGGCCCACUGCAGAAGAAAAAAAAAAAAGGAGGCAGCUCACUGGCCCACUCACGCAGCCCAGCCCACAGGUCAACCAACUCAGGCCACCUCCGGCCACCGGCAUCUUUUCUGGCCAGAUUUCCGGCGACUUUCCGAUUACUAUUUCGAGGGGAGACCAAAAGCCAAACUGUGGGGGUUCAUGCUCACUCCAAGCAUGGAGCUUGUUGAGAUCUCCAAACUUAGAGUUUGUAGAGAAUUUAUGAUCGAUCACUUACAUCAUUGUUUCGAUCUAAUCCAAUUCCUCUUGGAAUCAGAUUUCUUGGAAGCGACUAUGCUAAAAAAUCCUAAUUUCUUGGAAGCGAUUACGCUCAGAAAUUCAUAAUUUCUUAGGAGUGACUACGCUAAAAAAAUUUAUAUGUUUUCAGAGCAUAUUCCGGAAUCCAAUUAUAGUCGCACCCCUGAGGGAGGACGUUCUGGUUCAUAUUCUCGCUCUAAUGAGGAAGGUAACCGCCAAAAUAGGCGAACACAUAACCGAAAAGGUUAACGUGGAAAGAGAGAUGGAGGCACGCCUCUAGCCAUGUUGGUGGCGCCACCAACACUAAGAGCCAUCCAAAUGACACUUUCAAAGUGCCUCAAUCAAUGGAGUCUGAGCAUAAAGAUGUAUCAUGUAUGUUCUUACAUAGAAUCCAUGGGGAUUCUGUGGACUAAUUCAACCAACUUGCGGACGUUUAAAUAUUUCAUGAUGUUGGUUGACACACAAACACACUGGUCACGUGGUGUGCCAUUGUCCACCUAUAAAUGUUGCUUAUGCUACACUCCUAGCACAUAUCAUAUGACAACGGGCUCACUCCCCGGAUCAUCUUAUUCAGUCAAUUGGAUUUGACAAUGCUAGAGAGUUUACAUCGAAGACUUUCGAUGGUUAUUGCAAUGGGACUGAUGUUGGACAUCAUAUUCUCAUGAACACACCCAAAUGGUCUCGCGGAAAUGACAACGAUGGUAACCCGGAUAUUGGUAAUGUGCACCAAUCUCCUUAUAUCUGCUUGGGUGAUGCAAUAUUGCAUGCAACUAUGCUAAUUCGUCAACAACCCACUGCCACUCAAUCUAUCUCUACGUUACAGCUAGUGGCUGAGUACAAGUAUUUCGUACUUACGCACAUUUGAGUGAGCCAUUUAUGUGCCAAUUGCACCGCCACAGCACACUAUGAUGGGUCCUUACAGACGAAUGGGCAACUACGUUGGAUUUGAUAUUCCAACAAUCGUCCGCCACUUUAUGCCCUUGCUAGGCCUCUUUACCGCAUGUCUUGCUGAUUGUCACUUUGAUGAGACAGUCUUCCCGUCGUUAGGAGGAGAUAAGAAAACGGAUAUUCAACAGGAACAACAGGAAUUGUUGUGGUCUGUCCCCACUAUGUCUUAUCUCGAUCCCCACUAAAGUGACGAGAUCACACAUAUCUGCUGCAAACAUGUCUGCAAGGAUGGACGUCCCUACGAGAGGACGUAGUGCCACCUUACACGGAGGUAGGCAUGGUGCCAACGUCAUAGAGAGUGACACUCUGACGUUACGGGCCAUGGCCUCAGUUAGGAUGUGAGGGAGGCCCGUGCACUCCACUACCCUGUCAGUUUGGUAGUUUCAGAAUAACUGAACAUGGAGCUUACGAAUGUGGUCACUACGUAUCUCUAUGGGGAUCUAGAUACGGAAUAUACAUGAAGGUUCAUGGUGAACGUCAUUUACCCAAGUCAAGUGGCUCUAGAUCACAGAGCGCGUUUUACACAAAGAGGUUGAAACGCUCACUAAAGUGACUACUUGAUUGGGAAGGGAUAUGCCCACGCGUUUCCAUAACAAGUUUCAGAUUCUA